GACGAACGCUGGCGGCGUGCUUAACACAUGCAAGUCGAACGAAGAGCGACGGAAGCUUGCUUCUAUCAAUCUUAGUGGCGAACGGGUGAGUAACGCGUAAUCAACCUGCCCUUCAGAGGGGGACAACAGUUGGAAACGACUGCUAAUACCGCAUACGAUCUAACCUCGGCAUCGAGGAUAGAUGAAAGGUGGCCUCUACAUGUAAGCUAUCACUGAAGGAGGGGAUUGCGUCUGAUUAGCUAGUUGGAGGGGUAACGGCCCACCAAGGCGAUGAUCAGUAGCCGGUCUGAGAGGAUGAGCGGCCACAUUGGGACUGAGACACGGCCCAGACUCCUACGGGAGGCAGCAGUGGGGAAUCUUCCGCAAUGGACGAAAGUCUGACGGAGCAACGCCGCGUGAGUGAUGACGGCCUUCGGGUUGUAAAGCUCUGUUAAUCGGGACGAAAGGCCUUCUUGCGAAUAGUGAGAAGGAUUGACGGUACCGGAAUAGAAAGCCACGGCUAACUACGUG
rnacentral:rRNA from 1 species